UUUCUUGGGACCUAACAUGCAGAUAUAGAUUAGUUUCAUUGGUCUUAUUUUUCAGAUCCAAAGUGAGAUCAAAAGUCUUAACUAAGAUCACCCAGCAAUUGAAGAGCUAUGGUGGGAAGGAAAAUUCAUAGCUACCAAAUCCCAGGAACAUUGAAUAUGAGAAAAUAGAAGACCACCACCUCAUCAUCCUCAGCUUCAGGAAAGACAUAAAGAAUGCACAUGGCAUAACUUAUAUUCCUACAUGGUAAAUACCCAAGAGCUACGCUGAAAUCCAAUGUUGGGUUGCUUCCAGUUUAUGGCUGAAAAUAAGGAAGAUAUGAAUCACUUUGUUCCUAAAAUGCAUCAGGAAGCCACUGUGCUAUUUUCUUAAGAAACCACUACUACCCCAUCGCCACGGGGAGGUCAACAACCUACUCUUACAAAACUGAAAGUAUGACACCAUUCCUUGUGCUUUUACCACAUUCUGCCUCUUUAUUAAACUUUAAU
rnacentral:lncRNA from 1 species